GCCCAGGUGGCGGAAUUGGUAGACGCACUACCUUGAGGUGGUAGCGCCGCAAGGCGUGGGGGUUCGAGUCCCCCCUUGGGCA
rnacentral:tRNA from 1 species